ensembl:snRNA U4 U4 spliceosomal RNA
AGCUUUGUGCAGCGGCAGUAUCGUAGCCAAUGAGGUUUAUCCGAGGCGCGAUUAUUGCUAAUUGAAACAAAAUGAUUGAGCACUAAGCCUCUUUGGAGAAUGAGGAAACAAAGGACACAAAUAUUUUAAAAAUGGUAAAGACAGACCUAU